AAGCCAUGAUGAGGGCACUAUCUUUGUAGACUCUUGAAUCUAUCUCAUGCUUCAGAUAAUGAUUCUCCAUCUGCCUGAGCAAAAUUUGUGAUGCAAUUCCUCAUGUAC